rnacentral:lncRNA from 1 species
GGCAAGUCCAGUGAGCCUUCCUUCCCUGGCAGGGGCUGGAAAGAUGCACCAGUGCUAUAAACAACAGAAAGUUAAGGGAUGACUUCAGUGCAUUGACACUCACAGCAGAGAAAACAAGAAUAUUUGAAUCUUGUGAAGUCUGAAAUGCUUCUUUGCAGAGAGAUGUUGGUACACGGUUAAUCUGCUUUGUGCGGUUGAUCCAGUUUUGGAUCUGAUGGGGGUGACUAACCCAGGGACUGAAGUGAUGGGGUGCAGCAGAUGCCUCUGCUGACAUGGGGACCAUGGGACAAACCUCUCUGAUGGAACGGCUAUCUGAUCCAACAAUUGUCUGGAGUACUGCACUGAAUUGAAGCUCACAGCUCUGUCUUUUUAAAAGGAAAAAAUAAUACAAAAACCUGCUAGUCCCUGACUGACCACAGAAGAUAAUUCCUUCAUACCAGUUUUGAUAAUAAACUAUGAAAAUUAACUUCUGAAUACCA